rnacentral:rRNA from 1 species
GAUGAACGCUGGCGGCGUGCCUAAUACAUGCAAGUCGAGCGAACAGACGAGGAGCUUGCUCCUCUGACGUUAGCGGCGGACGGGUGAGUAACACGUGGAUAACCUACCUAUAAGACUGGGAUAACUUCGGGAAACCGGAGCUAAUACCGGAUAAUAUAUUGAACCGCAUGGUUCAAUAGUGAAAGACGGUUUUGCUGACACUUAUAGAUGGAUCCGCGCCGCAUUAGCUAGUUGGUAAGGUAACGGCUUACCAAGGCAACGAUGCGUAGCCGACCUGAGAGGGUGAUCGGCCACACUGGAACUGAGACACGGUCCAGACUCCUACGGGAGGCAGCAGUAGGGAAUCUUCCGCAAUGGGCGAAAGCUUGACGGAGCAACGCCGCGUGAGUGAUGAAGGUCUUCGGAUCGUAAAACUCUGUUAUUAGGGAAGAACAAAUGUGUAAGUAACUAUGCACGUCUUGACGGUACCUAAUCAGAAAGCCACGGCUAACUACGUG